CGCCAGACUCCUACGGGAGGCAGCAGUGGGGGAUAUUGCACAAUGGGGGAAACCCUGAUGCAGCGACGCCGCGUGGGCGAAGAAGUAUUUCGGUAUGUAAAGCCCUAUCAGCAGGGAAGAAGAAAUGACGGUACCUGAGUAAGAAGCACCGGCUAAAUACGUGCCAGCAGCCGCGGUAAUACGUAUGGUGCAAGCGUUAUCCGGAUUUACUGGGUGUAAAGGGAGCGUAGACGGCAUAGCAAGUCUGAAGUGAAAGCCCGUUGCUCAACCGCGGAACUGCUUUGGAAACUGUCAGGCUAGAGUGUCGGAGAGGCAAGUGGAAUUCCUAGUGUAGCGGUGAAAUGCGUAGAUAUUAGGAGGAACACCAGUGGCGAAGGCGACUUUCUGGACUGUACCUGACGCUGAGGCGCGAAAGCAUGGGGAGCGAACAGGAUUAGAUACCCUGGUACAA
rnacentral:rRNA from 1 species